rnacentral:rRNA from 1 species
GUACGGGUGAGUAAUGCCUAGGAAUCUGCCUGGUAGUGGGGGAUAACGUCCGGAAACGGGCGCUAAUACCGCAUACGUCCUGAGGGAGAAAGUGGGGGAUCUUCGGACCUCACGCUAUCAGAUGAGCCUAGGUCGGAUUAGCUAGUUGGUGGGGUAAAGGCCUACCAAGGCGACGAUCCGUAACUGGUCUGAGAGGAUGAUCAGUCACACUGGAACUGAGACACGGUCCAGACUCCUACGGGAGGCAGCAGUGGGGAAUAUUGGACAAUGGGCGAAAGCCUGAUCCAGCCAUGCCGCGUGUGUGAAGAAGGUCUUCGGAUUGUAAAGCACUUUAAGUUGGGAGGAAGGGCAGUAAGUUAAUACCUUGCUGUUUUGACGUUACCAACAGAAUAAGCACCGGCUAACUUCGUGCCAGCAGCCGCGGUAAUACGAAGGGUGCAAGCGUUAAUCGGAAUUACUGGGCGUAAAGCGCGCGUAGGUGGUUCAGCAAGUUGGAUGUGAAAUCCCCGGGCUCAACCUGGGAACUGCAUCCAAAACUACUGAGCCAGAGUACGGUAGAGGGUGGUGGAAUUUCCUGUGUAGCGGUGAAAUGCGUAGAUAUAGGAAGGAACACCAGUGGCGAAGGCGACCACCUGGACUGAUACUGACACUGAGGUGCGAAAGCGUGGGGAGCAACCAGGAUUAGAUACCCUGGUAGUCCACGCCGUAAACGAUGUCGACUAGCCGUUGGGAUCCUUGAGAUCUUAGUGGCGCAGCUAACGCGAUAAGUCGACCGCCUGGGAAGUACGGCCGCAAGGUUAAAACUCAAAUGAAUUGACGGGGGCCCGCACAAGCGGUGGAGCAUGUGGUUUAAUUCGAAGCAACGCGAAGAACCUUACCUGGCCUUGACAUGCUGAGAACUUUCCAGAGAUGGAUUGGUGCCUUCGGGAACUCAGACACAGGUGCUGCAUGGCUGCCGUCAGCUCGUGUCGUGAGAUGUUGGGUUAAGUCCCGUAACGAGCGCAACCCUUGUCCUUAGUUACCAGCACCUCGGGUGGGCACUCUAAGGAGACUGCCGGUGACAAACCGGAGGAAGGUGGGGAUGACGUCAAGUCAUCAUGGCCCUUACGGCCAGGGCUACACACGUGCUACAAUGGUCGGUACAAAGGGUUGCCAAGCCGCGAGGUGGAGCUAAUCCCAUAAAACCGAUCGUAGUCCGGAUCGCAGUCUGCAACUCGACUGCGUGAAGUCGGAAUCGCUAGUAAUCGUGAAUCAGAAUGUCACGGUGAAUACGUUCCCGGGCCUUGUACACACCGCCCGUCACACCAUGGGAGUGGGUUGCUCCAGAAGUAGCUAGUCUAACCGCAAGGGGGACGGUUACCACGGAGUGAUUCAUGACUGGGGUGAAGUCGUAACAAGGUAGCCGUAGGGGAACCUGCGGCUG